GACGAACGCUGGCGGCGUGCUUAACACAUGCAAGUCGAACGGAAAGGUCUGCUUUUCCUUGUGGAUUGCUGGUACGCGAGUGGGGAACUAGCGAGUAACAAGCGAAUGAUCUGGCCCCAACUUGGGUAGGAGCCUGGGAGACUGUGUCGAAUACCCGAUUGGACUGCAGGGUGGAGCCGGGGGUGGAAAUCUUGUUUCUACUGGUUGGUGAUGCGCCCGCGGCGUAUCAGCUUGUUGGUGUGGCAACGGCCUAACAAGGCGACGAUGGGCAGCCGAACUGAGAGGGUGAGCGGCCACAGCUGAACUGAGACACGGUCCAGACUCCUACGGGAGGCAGCAGUAGGGAAUCUUCCGCAAUGGGCGAAAGCCUGACGGAGCAACGCCGCGUGAGUGAUGAAGGUCUUCGGAUCUUAAAACUAUGUUAUUAGGGAAGAACAAAUGUGUAAGUAAUUAUGCACGUCUUGACGGUACCUAAUCAGAAAGCCACGGCUAACUACGUG
rnacentral:rRNA from 1 species